GCUUGUCUCAAAGAUUAAGCCAUGCAUGUCUUAGUGUAAAUAACUCUUAUGAAACUGCGAAUGGCUCAUUAAAUCAGUUAUCAAAUACGUGAUGGUCGCCUACUACAUGGAUAACCGUAGUAACCUAGAGCUAAUACAUGCACAAAAUCCCGACUUCACGGAAGGGAUGUAUUUAUUAGAUAAAAAACCAAUCCGGCAACGGUGCUUGGUGAUUCAUAAUAACUGUUCGAAGCGCACGGCCUCGCGCCGGCGCUAGUUCAUUCAAAUUUCUGCCCUAUCAGCUUUCGACGGUAGUGUAGUGGACUACCGUGGCGCUAACGGGUGACGGAGAAUUAGGGUUCGGUUCCGGAGAGGGAGCCUGAGAAACGGCUACCACAUCCAAGGAAGGCAGCAGG
rnacentral:rRNA from 1 species